GUUAUCCUGAACUUUUAUUCUGACGGGGUAACGACGCUCCCCUUUUCCUUCCGGUGGGUAGCGUAUAUCAUUCCGGUGGUAACUAGCUAGCAAAGAGGCUAUGUUUUUGAUGCUGCAGUGUGUAGCGUGGGGUACACCGCUCUCUCUCUGUGGUUGAGCCAUCGUACAGGAAAGCCCUGUCCAUCGGCGGCUGGCGUGGGGUCGGCUGCUGUUCUGGGAUGGUGUGCUGAGCUGGGCAAACUCAAGUGUCGCUGGUGAUGUUCUUCCACUUUGUGUCCUGUGUGGUUGACUGCUUGCAUGCCGCUUCGAGAGAACCAGAGGAGGAGUUGGUGCCUUCGACUACACUGAUGCAGUGUCACUAGAGAAGGGGGGCAUCACUGUUCUUUUCCCAACCUUUUGUUUCGUUUUGUCCUAUUGUGUGAGUGAUUCAUCCUGUACAACCUUUUCACUUUGACGUCCGAGACGAAGGGGCUUGUGUAAGUUUCACUCUAACAUCCGAGACAAAGGGGCUCGUGUAAGUUUCUACUUAGUAACCGCCAAGACGGAGCUUGUGUAUAUGAUUAGGGUAUGAACACUGAAGUAUUACUGGGAGACGUAUCUUAAAUCUCAGACUCCUUUUGGAACCUAUACUUGCUGUAGGGGGAGACCAAAGACGUGUGUCUAACAGGCUUGUGUGUGUGUGUGGUGGCCAUUACCAAUUUUGCCCUUUUGGCAGUUUGUUUUCUUUUUAAAAUUUGAUUUACUAACUUUGUUUGCCGUGCAUUUUUUGUUAUUUGGUCUACCCCUCGUGCAAAUGCCAAUUUCCAUUGGCACUUUUGCAUAACUUGCACAUUUGCACAUUUUGUAUAUUAAGAUGACGUGCCUUUAGGUACUGUAAAUGUUCAUAUGCUCUAUUUUUAUAUGUGACUGAGCCCGUGAGGCAUAUUUUCAGAAAGAGAUUCAUUACGAAAAGAAGAAAAUAAAAAGAACUCUGGAUUGUAUGACAGUUGUAUCUCUUGUUAUUCACUAACCUGUUGCGGGGAAAGUCAAAUCAAGUGUUUGAUGGUUGGGUUCUCUCACCCUAACAAAUGAGAGUGGCG